AGAAACCCUGUCUCGAAAAACCAAAAAAAAGAAAAGAAAUUGAACCCAGGGUCAUGCACAGGCUGGGAAAGUCCUUUAUCUCUAACGUGCCCCCACAACACCCCAUUCUGCUGACCCAACAGCCCAUCUGUUGAUAGACCUUGCACCAUUGUGAAUAAAGCUGACGAGAACACUGGUGCACGGGUUUCUGAGUGGACAGGGGUUUGUCUAUGGCUACCGGGUCCUGUGGGUCACAGCUACGGGUCAUUUUCAGACAGCAGCCAUGGUGGUGACUUGCAGUGACAGGGGAGCCACUGUGGCCAGCUACCAGCUCUAUAGAGACAAGGGCAGGACUGAGCUAUACCUUGGCUCCCAGGUCUCAAUUGGGCUUCCUCUCUCCUGUCCAGACUUGGAGGCAUCCAGCCCAUACCACCAGAUUCGCUGCUAAGGGCGGUCGCUAGGGAUGGUAACCCUAGCGGGAGGCCCAGCCAGGCACUCUAGAUAUUCCUGCUGCAGGCAUGCUGUUCAGAGUGCCUUAGGCCAAGUGCCGAGGCAGGAGGCACAGUCUUGGGUCGUGUCCUGGGUUCAUGGUAGCAUGCUUUCGGGGUGGCACCCAGGACGGCACUAGAUUCAGAGUCAUCCCCUUCCUUGCGCUGAGACUCCUCCUGUGCUGGCCGUCUGGGUCCAGGGCACACACUCCCAGCCUCCGCGGUGAACUCGGAGCAGGCAGAGUCUGAGCACACGGUACCUGCUGCAUGAAACGCAGUCCACACUGGCCCUGGUGUGCCUUCUCCUGCCUGUAAUUUUAUCACACGCGGUUUAGGGUCUGCAGAAGGUGCGGCAGGGUGCUGCUUUCAGCCCGGAGAUGGACUGGUUGUAAGUGUUCUGUCUUACGCGUUGUUCCCUCGAGCUCCUGCUAACUGGCAGCAUUCCUGCAAACAACAGGCCUCUUCUUGGCUUGGCAGCAUCCUCCUCGCAUAUUGUGCGUUUUCCUCUGAAAUGUUUAACGUGCUAAAGUCUCGCUUCAAUCACAUCAGCUCUAGAGCAGACUAAUCACUUAGCCUGAUUGUUGAGCUGCAUUUGGUUCUGGAAUUUUAAAACACGGAAGAAAACAACCCUACCAAGCUACAUACCCACAGCCCGCUGUGCAGCUGAUCCUUCACAGGAAAAUGUAGUGCCCUCUCUGGGGCUUUGUGGUUGGGUUAGUGUUUAUUGGGAGUGAAAAUUGUUUUACCCACCAGCACAGUGCCUAGAAUGUUGGACAGAUGUUAAUUGUGUUACCGAUGCCAAAAUUGGAAACACCUUGCCCCUUCCCAGAGUUGAGCUUUUUGGUUUAAUUACUGUAACUGUGAUGGCUGAAACCGAAGCGCGUGUGCAUUCGGAACGGGAAACACUGAUGUUAGAAAGUAAUUUCAGAUCUGCUUAGCUGGGGAUGGAGACAGCAGGUGUGUCGAAGAGCAGGGCUGCUGGCUGAUUCUGGCACGUGUGUGGGGGAGGGGGUAGUGUGACGCUGCCUUCCAUGCGUGCCCACGGGUGUUCAUUAUGCUGUGUUUAUAGCUGGCGAUGAUUUCCCAUCUGCAGUGACUCCAUGAUUCCCAGCCCUAUUCCUUAAAUGCAGAGGCAAACAGCAGUCUGUUCCGGCAGACACAUGCUGCAGGUCGGUUGGUGGUGGACUUGCUGGCCUGGCCCAGGGCCUCUUUUCCAGACCCCUGCAUUGCUCCAAGGUGGUAUGUGUGGGUGAGUGGGGGCUGCUUUGGCAGCCAAGGGAUCUUUUUUAUUUUACAAUUAAUGGAUACAAACAAGGUAAUAGACUUAGUAUUUUAGAGUCGUCUUUGAUUUAUACAAAGUUAACUAAUAGUUAGAGAGCCCCACGUACUUUUCAUGGUUCCCCUCUCCUUCACUUCUAGCAGUGGGGUGAUUUGUCUGGCAGAGCUGGUAUGGACACUGUUAUCAACAGCCAUCUGCUCACCACAUGAGAGUGGACUCCUCUUGGAGCUGCACAUUCUAUGGGUUUGGGCAUAGUCACACUGUCACAUCGUCCAUUGCAGCAUCAUAUACAAGCCUCUGUCCACAGAUUCUGCAAUCCACUGUUUCAAGUGAACAAACAUGCAAGACCACGAAGAGCUCCAACUCCAGUGGCACAGUUGCUAAAACAUCACAGUGCAGGUGUGGGGAAUAGCGGUGUGUUUACUCCAAGGCUCACUGGAUGUCCAAGGCCCAUAUUCCUCAGACCAUCCCCGUGGCUUUGAGCCUGGAGUGAGAGUGGGCAGCACUUGAAAUACUCAAGACAACGAUAAAGUGAGGUGACUGCACGUUAUCUACUGGAAACAAAGUCCCAAGGCUGCUAAUAUUCUCAAGAGAAGGAAAUGACUAUUUGAGUCAGAAAUCAGUGAACAUAAAAUGUUAGUUUUCCUUGUCCAAGUUCCUAGUCCCCAUGGAUUAAGUCUCUACUCUAUAGACAUAUGGAAAUAUUGUGAAUCAGAAGAAAUAAGAUGCUAACAGGGAUUUUUAAAAAUGUGUUUUCAAAAUCAAACGUGCUGUUUUUGAAACUCCACCUUCAUUAGCACCAGGUGGGCUUUGACUGCUGUCUGCACGGUGGAUCAGUGAAUUCACUGAGCUGCCCUGAGAAAAAGCAGACUGAUUAGGAGAAGCUGAUUAAGCUCUGCGGAAGGAGGUGUGAUUAAUGCCUACUCACACAGCAAACAGGAUGGUUACAUUUCACUGUCUUCCCGUGACUCCAAGUCAGUGGCUAAUAGCUCCAAGAUGGAAAGGGAGAAAUCCAUUCCAGGGACCCCAGGCAUCCAACAAGCAUCAAGGGUCACUGGUCGCUGCCUGCUGGAGGCCUAAGAAGUUGGUUGCAGGUGCUCCACCAUCACCACCAUCAUCAUUAUCUUCAACUUUACCACUAUCACCAGAACCAUUGUCUUAUCACCAUUAUCACCAUCAAUACCUCCUUCACCAUCACAUCACCAUCACCUCUAACAUCAUCUUCAUUAACACUUUCAACUCCAUCACCGUCAUCAUAACCAUCAUCUUCACCACCAUCAUCUUCAACCUAGCCACUGUCACAACCAUCUUCGUGUCUUCAUCAUCACCACCAUCGUGACCAUGACCUUUAUCAUGGUCAUAGUCACUGUCAUUACUGGUGGCAAGCCAGGUCUGAGACUUCCUGGCUGCAGCCUCAUGGGCCCAGAGCCAAGCUUGCUCCUAGCCAGCAAUGCACCACUCCUGCCCUGGAGCCUUCAGGGCUCCUAGGCAUUGGAACAUCUACUCAACCAGCUGACAUCCUGCGGUUGCUGAACACGGCCUGGGCAGGAGACUCCACCAGAACUCAAAAGCAAGGAUCCAGGAAGCCUCUCAUUUAGUGUGGAUUAUGACAGACAGCAAGGGCCCCAGGGAUUCGGAUCCCAAGGAACACCCCACAGGACUGUCUCCUAUAUGAGUCUGGAUCCUGACAAGUUGACGACAUGAACUGUCACGGCAGUGAUUGCGGCCAUGAAGCACCCACCCUGUUCUCCAAAGUGCAGGCCCAAGCUGGUCCUCAGCAGUGCCAGCCCUUCCUGAAUGCUCCUUGUGUUGUUGCUCUGUUCUCACUUAAAACUUGUUCUUUAUAAGCUAUGAAGAAGCAUAAGGAUGGAGCUGAAGAGAUGGUUCAGUACUUAACAGUACUUCCUGCUCUUCCAGAAGACGUAGGCUCAGCUCCCAGGCCCCAUGUUGAGGUGCUAACAACCGUCUGUAACUCAAGCUCCAGAGAUCCAAUGCCGACUUCUGGACUCCUUGGCACCUGCACACACCGAGAACAUAUUCUUACUGUAAAUAAAAAUAAAUCCUUAAAAAAGAGAAAACAUAAGGAAACAUUCUUAAAAGAAAAUUAAAAUU